ensembl:lncRNA
UGUGGGUUGUGUCCCGUGUACGUCUCCACUGAAUUAACUCCACUUAUUUUGAUUUAUUUAUUUAUUUAUUAAGAAAAAUAAGUCUUGUUGGAACAAACAUGCAGACCUUCACUGCUCAGGAGGACUACAAACCAAAGUAAAACUAGGGGCCAGCAAAAACAUGGUGCUCCACGGUCUUAAUUUAAUAAAACACAGUGGAACCCCCUGAAAUAGCGUGAAAUUCAGAAGCCUGUGGUGGGGCUGAAGCGUGGUGUGCUGGCUGGCAGAUGUUUGGAAAGGUGCUAAGAUGUAACUCUUAUUGUCCAUAGAAUUUGCUGUUAAUCACUUGCAAGAUACAAAGUGACGGCCAGCUGGAUGAAUAGGAGAAUGUAUGUGAACACCCAGAACUGACAGACCCGGGACGGUGCAAGUGGCUUGAAGUGGGCACUGAGAGAAAGCUCAGACAACAUUUAUACAUGCUAUUAACAUUCAAAUUAAUUUCCAUCAGGACACGACUUAAUUAAGGUGAGCUGUACAAAGUUCAUCUCAUUUCCCUUUACGCUCAAUUCCAUACACAAUGUAUGUUACCAGAGAGAUACUGCGCUAUGCUUCACUACUUUAAUCACUGGCCUGUCCCAUUGUAGUUCAGGAACGCAUGCAAGUGUACUGUUCUUAUUAGAGGCACGGUCUGGAAAAGAUGGCCGGGGAGCUGAACAGCAUUUCUAUUUCAGCUGCUGAAGCGCCCACUAACUUUGGAUGUCGCCUAAACCUUCAGAUGGAAUCCUUGCAGGCAUUCCCGUGGGGAUCGGGAAAUUGCAGUAUGCCGGAACUACCGUUGCUGAUGUGGGGCGAGCGCUCUGAAGUGCACUUGGAGAAGGACACAUUCAAAUACGGCAUAUAUGAAAAGUUUAAUAUUUUAGACAGCUAGAUGAAAUGCUGGGGUCUUGGUGCAUUUUGCUUUGGCGGUCCAGGCUUUUCAGCAUCUUAGGGAAAUGUUUGGAAAUGAAUUUUAUUUUCACAACUGUGGUACAAUUACAAGGCGGGGAUGUUUCAGCCUUCUCAACGAGGUGCCCUUGGUGGUGGUGGUCUGUAAAUGGCUACAGAACUGACAGAGAACUCUGCAAGCAUUUUCUUUCCCCCAUUUGCCCAGUCUGCCCGCCUCUGUGAUCCCCCGCAGCACUGGCUGGAAGUCCGCCGCGCAUCAGUGAGGAGCUGCUUCAGAAGAAAGAAGAAGCGGCGUGGGGACCUGGGCUGCAAAAUCAAGAUGGGGCAUCUGUUGACUGUUUUUCUUGUAUUUCUUUGCCUUUUGGAGCCACAGUUUUGAACGGUUGUGUAAGACUUUAUCACUCUUUUUGUCAGCGUCGUCAGCUGUGAAUAAAGUUUUUUUUCCAUGUUGUUUUUCCUGUUAUAUUUGCUGUUCAUUUCCUUUGUGUAUUUAUUCUUGGUUUUGAG